rfam:Flavobacterium sp. Leaf359 contig_1, whole genome shotgun sequence.
AAGGUGUAAUCUGAAAAACCUUAACAGAGUAAGAA